ACGAACGCUGGCGGCGUGCUUAACCCCUGCCAGUCGAACGAAGCUUGCUUACGGAUUCUUCGGAUGAAGUAUGAUAUGACUGAGUGGCGGACGGGUGAGUAACGCGUGAGUAACCUGCCCUUCAGAGGGGGAUAGCGUUUGGAAACGAACGGUAAUACCGCAUAAUGUAUUUUGACCGCAUGAUCGAAAUACCAAAGAUUUAUCGCUGAAGGAUGGACUCGCGUCUGAUUAGGUAGUUGGUGGGGUAACGGCCUACCAAGCCGACGAUCAGUAGCCGGACUGAGAGGUUGAUCGGCCACAUUGGGACUGAGACACGGCCCAGACUCCUACGGGAGGCAGCAGUGGGGAAUAUUGCACAAUGGGCGCAAGCCUGAUGCAGCAACGCCGCGUGAAGGAAGACGGUUUUCGGAUUGUAAACUUCUGUUCUUAGUGAAGAAUAAUGACGGUAGCUAAGGAGCAAGCCACGGCUAACUACGUG
rnacentral:rRNA from 1 species